GCAUUAUACCGCGAAACUGCGAAUGGCUCAUUAUAUAAGUUAUCGUUUAUUUGAUAGCACGUUACUACUUGGAUAACCGUGGUAAUUCUAGAGCUAAUACAUGCUAAAAAUCCCGACUCCGGAAGGGAUGUAUUUAUUAGAUUAAAAGCCAAUGCCCUCUGGGCUCACAGGUGAUUCAUGAUAACUUCUCGAAUCGCAUGGCCUUGCGCCGGCGAUGGUUCAUUCAAAUCUCUUCCCUAUCAACUUUCGAUGCGAAGGUCUUGUCUUCGCAUGGUUACAACGGGUAACGGAGGGUUAGGGCUCGACCCCGGAGAAGGAGCCUGAGAGACGGCUACUACAUCCAAGGAAGGCAGCAGGCGCGCAAAUUACCCAAUCCCGACACGGGGAGGUAGUGACAAAAAAUACUGAUACAGGGCUCUUUUGGGUCUUGUAAUUGGAAUGAGUACAAUUUAAAUCCCUUAACGAGGAACAAUUGGAGGGCAAGUCUGGUGGACGUCCAGUUCCAAGCAUGCUGGCGCCAGCAAGAGCAGGAGGUUGGCACGCCGCGGCCCCCCCCCGGGGUCGUGGCUUGCCAGCUUUCGGACCUGCUAGUCGAGCAUCCGCUCAGGGCGGGAGGAUGCCGGCGAGACAACCUGGAUCGGGGAAGGCUAAGGGGCACCUCGCGCGCCCUAUGCUAAUCCCGAGCAGAGCACCGGGGGAGCGAUCCCCCGCGUGCCUGUGUAGAGCGCGGAAAGGUGUCGGCUGCACUGCAAGACGAAGCGAGACGCAGGCAGCUUAAGGGACGUGCCGGCCCCCUCGAAAGAGGGUCUCUUAUCUGGAGCGCCCGCCACGCAAAGGAUUCGAGACUACCGGUCCAACGCCGGUAGGGAGAAACAUGCUAAGCAUUGAACGCUGCCGGGGACUCCCGGGACAUUUUGCCCGGCGGAACAGCAGAACACGGAGCCAGUUUUUUUAACCUGAUCAUCUGAAGCGGGCCGCCCAGGCGGGCGGGGCCCGCUGUUCCUGGAGUGUCCUGCUGGCGCCGCAAGGCCCCCCCUCCCCGGUGGGGGAGCAGCGUUCAAUGGCGGAAGGCAAAAGUGGCCAGCAGCCGCGGUAAUUCCAGCUCCAAUAGCGUAUAUUAAAGUUGUUGUGGUUAAAAAGCUCGUAGUUGAACCUUGGGCCUGGCUGGCCGGUCCCCCUCACCGGGUGCACUGAUCCAGCCGGGCCUUUCCCUCUGUGGAACCCCAUGGCCUUCGCUGGUCGUGGCGGGGAAACAGGACUUUUACUUUGAAAAAAUUAGAGUGCUCCAGGCAGGCCUAUGCUCGAAUACAUUAGCAUGGAAUAAUAGAAUAGGACGCGUGGUUCUAUUUUGUUGGUUUCUAGGACCGCCGUAAUGAUUAAUAGGGACAGUCGGGGGCAUCAGUAUUCAAUUGUCAGAGGUGAAAUUCUUGGAUCUAUUGAAGACUAACUACUGCGAAAGCAUUUGCCAAGGAUGUUUUCAUUGAUAAGGAACGAAAGUUAGGGGAUCGAAGACGAUCAGAUACCGUCGUAGUCUUAACUAUAAACUAUGCCGACUAGGGAUCGGACGAUGUUAUUCUUUGACUCGUUCGGCACCUUUCGAGAAAUCAAAGUGCU
rnacentral:rRNA from 1 species